ACAAGGACUACAAGGAACCUCCACCGGCUCCCUUGUUCGAGCCCGGGGAGCUCACCUCUUGGUCCUUCUACAGGGCUGGGAUAGCGGAGUUCAUGGCUACCUUCCUCUUCCUCUACAUCACCAUCCUCACGGUCAUGGGCGUGGUCAAGUCCAACAGCAAGUGCUCCACGGUGGGCAUCCAAGGGAUUGCCUGGGCCUUCGGUGGCAUGAUCUUUGCCUUGGUCUACUGUACCGCCGGGAUCUCUGGUAAGGGAUCUGCUUUCCCUUCCAUUUGGGUCUCUGAAACCUUUUGGUCGACUCACUUCUGCUAAAUCGUCAGGUGGCCACAUCAACCCCGCGGUGACCUUCGGGCUGUUCCUGGCGAGGAAGCUGUCGCUGACCAGGGCUCUGUUCUACAUGGUGAUGCAGUGCCUGGGCGCCAUCUGCGGUGCCGGUGUGGUCAAGGGGUACCAGAAGGGGCUCUAUGAGAGCAACGGUGGCGGAGCUAACGUCGUGGCUCCUGGCUACACCAAGGGUGAUGGCCUGGGUGCUGAGAUCGUCGGCACCUUCAUCCUCGUCUACACUGUUUUCUCUGCUACUGACGCCAAAAGAAACGCCAGGGACUCUCAUGUUCCCGUGAGUACAUGUCCAAGUUCUUGAUGUUGACCAUGGUUGAUCUGAUCUAACAAGUGUUACGGAUCUGUGCAGAUUUUGGCUCCCCUCCCCAUUGGGUUUGCCGUGUUCCUUGUCCACCUGGCUACCAUCCCCAUCACCGGCACCGGCAUCAACCCUGCCAGAAGCCUUGGCGCUGCCAUCAUCUACAACAAGAAGCAUGCCUGGGAUGAUCAUGUAAGUGUGUCUGUGGAACCCUCACAAGCCUCAGAUGACACUACUUACUAACUGUCCUGUUUCCUUGUCUCAGUGGAUCUUUUGGGUUGGACCCUUCAUUGGAGCUGCUCUUGCUGCCAUCUACCACCAGAUAGUCAUCAGGGCGAUCCCAUUCAAGAGCAGGCCCUGAGAGAGCCUUCCAUCUCCUCUCAUAAUCACCUGUCUCAUGAUUCUGUGUGCCUUUCUUUUAUCAUGGCUUGUUUCUGGCUUGGAGUGUGUUCCAGAACUGUGAUUUGCACAGCACUGUGGUUGUCGAUCAAGAGUGUAAAUUAAGUACUGAUGCAUGUCGUUGUGUCUCUCAAUCUAAGUAUGUGGUGUUUGCCAGCUUCCGAAGCAUAUUCUCUUGUCGGGAAACCUUAUCUCUUUGCAUAUAUUUAUUAACAUCUUCAUCUUAUCUCACCAAAGUUGGAGUGAAAUAAAGUAAUGGAAAACAAGGGAAGGACGGAGGUAAAAGAAAGAUCGAGCGAGUGGCAUACUCUCAAAGCAAUGAUGGUGGCCAGUGCUGGCAAAGAUGGACGAUGAUGGUGGGUGAUGGGGAGAACCUUUAGGUGGGAUGUGAUGGGAGCGGCGUGGUAGGCCAACUGCUACAUGGGGGCUGCUGCUAAAGGUGUGGUUCUGGCAGCCUGGUUUUCCCACCCGUCCAAAGCAGUGCCUCCCAUGUUCCUUUUGGCAAAGCAGACGGGUUUUGGUGGGAUGAGGCCAUGCACGAAGAAGAUGCUUCUGCCUUGCAACUGAAAGCUUUGGGACUUGGGAUUCUUCAGGGCACGGUCUUUGGGGACGAGGAUGACCUGCCACACCUGUGUUCUAUGCCUCUUCGUCUGCUCUUUGAGACACCCCACUGUUCUUCACGUUCUUCUCCACAGGACAGACACCUGCAAGAUUUUCUGCAUGAUUGUUUUGAAAAAAAAAGCAUUUAUUUGCAUGUAGACCAGAG
rnacentral:lncRNA from 1 species